UAGCCGUAAACGAUACUCGCUAGGUGUCGGCCACGGUGCGACCGUUGUCGGUGCCGUAGGGAAGCCGUGAAGCGAGCCACCUGGGAAGUACGGCCGCAAGGCUGAAACUUAAAGGAAUUGGCGGGGGAGCACGACAACGGGUGGAGCUUGCGGUUUAAUUUGGAUUCAACGCCGGAAAUCUUACCGGGACCGACAGCAACAUGAAGGCCAGGCUGAAGACUUUGCCGGAUUAGCUGAGAGGUGGUGCAUGGCGUAGUCGUG
rnacentral:rRNA from 1 species